rnacentral:snoRNA from 1 species
UCCUUCCCAAGAGUCCUUACCCAUCAGAUCUAAGCACUGGUCAGAGAGGCGUGUAAAAGGAGGAAAAGUAAAGUGGAAAUGAAUUUGGAUUCUUUUGUGACACACGUUCAUUUACGAAGUGU